rnacentral:lncRNA from 1 species
UAACUUGUCACCGAAUUAAUUAACUUCAAGCUAGAAGUAACAUCAUAGUACCCGAUAUCAAUUUGAACAUCCAAAAUACUUACAUUGCACGAUAAUAUUCCAAGACUAAUACUCUUUCACUUAACUUAGUCAAAAUCCAAUUAAUAAUAUCUUGAAAUACAAAUUACUCCACCAAAAAAACUCUCAAAAUAGUCUAUUCAUACUUUGGCUAUAAACACAGUUAGCUAGCAUUCUGAUUUCAGUAUCACAAAAUU